CAUUUUUGUUAGAACAUAAUUGUUAUGUUAUUUCUUUAUUUUUAUAUUUUUUGCCUAUGGGCAAAAGGGUCUUUUACCUUUAUUUAAUUAGUGUAGAAAUUAAUUAAGAGAUGGUGUAGAAAGGAAAAGUAUGCAAAUUAAAUAAUCUGAUUAUUUAAUUAAAUAAUAUUAUGUAAAUCUUUUAAAAUAUUUAGUUGUUAUUUUAAAAGUUAGUUAAAUGAAAAUAGGAGAUAUAAUAUUGGUGGGUUUAAAGAUUAAGAGAAAUAUUAUUAUUAGAUAAAAUCAUUAUUAGAUAUUGUAGAUUUUAAAAAGAUUUGGUGGUUGAUGAUAUUUUAAAAAGUAGUUAAGAUAGAAUAAAAGAGGAAAUCUUAGUGGUUUUAGAUAUAAACUGAGAGAUUUUAUUAAUAUUAAAAGGAUAUUGGAAAAGAGUAAAAAGGGGUUGUCAUUUUGCUACCCUAAGAGGAAAAAACGAAAAUUAUAAAGAUAAGGGAGAGAAAAGAAGUUUUCUAAGAGAAAAUAGAGUUGAGAACGGGGCAUCAAAAAAUGGGAGGACCAUCGGUGACGUUGAGAAGCUUUCUUGGUGAUUUUGGAAACAAAAGUUGUACGAGACCAGGUAAGGGGAGUGACUAGAAUUAUCUUGUGUGUAUGGUUUGCCAUUGUAUGGUAUUCUUUAUUAUAUGUUGCAAUCUUAUGGUUUUUGGGGUGUAUGGUAAAUUUGGAGUGAUGAUGAUGAUGGGUGACGUGAAAGUGUGGUUAGUGGAAAGGAAAGAAGAGAGGAAUGACUUGUGGAGGAACCAUGGAUUUAAUAGGACAUUACGUGAGAGUGAGGAUAGGAGUGUGGACGAUGAUGAUCUGGUAAUGAUGACUCUUUUAGCCGUGUGAUGCGGGAAAGAAAUUCUCUUCGGCCAUGUGAUGCAGGAAGAGGAUGGUCUAAUAGUGGUGAAUCUUCGUUCGGGUGAUGCGGGAAAGAGAUUUUAUUUGGAUGUGUGAUACGGGAAGAGGAUGUCGUGUGACUCAUAAUGAAUUAGUUAUGGUGGUUAAGUGGUGUGGUAGUGUAGAGGAAAAAGACCAUUGAGUGUUGAUGUUAUUGUUGUUAUGUUAGUGUGUGAUGUUAAUUUGGUGAUAAUAUAUGUUUAUGAUUUGGUUAUUAUUGUGGUUAAUAUAAUUGUAUAUUGUAUGAUAAGAUAAUUUUGGUUGCUCACCCUGAAAGUUGUGGUUGUGGUUUCCACCUACGAUGAUCGUACUUGUACGGGAGUAGAUGGCUUGCAGAUAAGACUGGAUCUGAGUAGCUGACGGGAGUUGAGAUGUUAUGUUCGGGAAUAUAUUAUUUACUUUCUAUUAUUUAAAAGUUUUUCUGGUUUGGUAUAUUUAUGUAAAAGUGAUAUUCUAAGAUUUUCAAACAACUGUUAUGGUUAUGUUUAGCUUCCGCAUUUUUAAUCGAAUAAAGAUUAUUUUCUUUCAUUGAAUGUUUUAUAGAAAGGUUUUGAAAAAACAUUACACCGUGAUAUCUAAAAAAUUUGGGAUGUUACAUAUGCUCCCCCUAUCAUAUAUAUUCACAUGAAAAAGAUAACUCCCCC
rnacentral:lncRNA from 1 species